GACGAACGCUGGCGGCGUGCCUAAUACAUGCAAGUUGAGCGCUGAAGGUUGGUACUUGUACCAACUGGAUGAGCAGCGAACGGGUGAGUAACGCGUGGGGAAUCUGCCUUUGAGCGGGGGACAACAUUUGGAAACGAAUGCUAAUACCGCAUAAAAACUUUAAACACAAGUUUUAAGUUUGAAAGAUGCAAUUGCAUCACUCAAAGAUGAUCCCGCGUUGUAUUAGCUAGUUGGUGAGGUAAAGGCUCACCAAGGCGAUGAUACAUAGCCGACCUGAGAGGGUGAUCGGCCACGUUGGGACUGGGACACGGCCCAAACUCCUACGGGAGGCAGCAGUAGGGAAUCUUCGGCGAUGGACGAAAGUCUGAACGAGCAACGCCGCGUGAGUGAAGAAGGUUUUCGGAUCGUAAAACUCUGUUGGUAGAGAAGAACGUUGGUGAGAGUGGAAAGCUCAUCAAGUGACGGUAACUACCCAGAAAGGGACGGCUAACUACGUG
rnacentral:rRNA from 1 species